CGCGUUGAAUUGGCAUCAUUCAACAACUUUUCUCGUUGUUGCUCCAUCAACGUCA
rnacentral:tRNA from 1 species